AGUGAACGCUGGCGGUAGGCCUAACACAUGCAAGUCGAACGGCAGCACAGAGGAGCUUGCUCCUUGGGUGGCGAGUGGCGGACGGGUGAGGAAUACAUCGGAAUCUACUCUGUCGUGGGGGAUAACGUAGGGAAACUUACGCUAAUACCGCAUACGACCUACGGGUGAAAGGAGGGGAUCUUCGGACCUUGCGCCAUUGAAUGAGCCGAUGUCGGAUGGGCUAGUUGGCGGGGUAAAGGCCCACCAAGGCGACGAUCCGUAGCUGGUCUGAGAGGAUGAUCAGCCACACUGGAGCUGAGACACGGUCCAGACUCCUACGGGAGGCAGCAGUGGGGAAUAUUGGACAAUGGGCGCAAGCCUGAUCCAGCCAUACCGCGUGGGUGAAGAAGGCCUUCGGGUUGUAAAGCCCUUUUGUUGGGAAAGAAAUCCAUCUGGUUAAUACCCGGGUGGGAUGACGGUACCCAAAGAAUAAGCACCGGCUAACUUCGUGCCAGCAGCCGCCGUAA
rnacentral:rRNA from 1 species